GUCCACGCCGUAAACGAUGGAUACUAGCUGUUCGGGAGCAAUUCUGAGUGGCUAAGCGAAAGUGAUAAGUAUCCCACCUGGGGAGUACGUUCGCAAGAAUGAAACUCAAAGGAAUUGACGGGGGCCCGCACAAGCGGUGGAGCAUGUGGUUUAAUUCGAUGAUACGCGAGGAACCUUACCAGGGCUUAAAUGUAGUCUGACAGGCUUGGAAACAGGUUUUUCUCGGACAGAUUACAAGGUGCUGCAUGGUUGUCGU
rnacentral:rRNA from 1 species